UACGUAGGGGGCAAGCGUUGUUCGGAUUUACUGGGCGUAAAGGGCGCGUAGGCGGCGUGUAAAGUCGGACAUGAAAUCAUCGGGCUUAACCCGAUGGCUGUGCCCGAUACUUGCGUGCUUAGAGUGAGGGAGAGGCAAUCGGAAUUCUCGGUGUAGCGGUGAAAUGCGUAGAUAUCGAGAGGAACUCCGGUGACGAAGGGGGGUUGCUGGACCGACACUGACGAUGAGGCGCGAAAGCUAGGGGAGCAAACGGG
rnacentral:rRNA from 1 species